rnacentral:tRNA from 1 species
CAAAGUGUAGCUUAACCUAAAGCACCCGGCUUACACCCGGAAGAUUUCACACUAACUGACCACUUUGA